ACAUGCCUACAACAUAAAAUUAAUGCACUGAAUCCCAUUAGAACUCCGUAGUUAAUCAUUCUCAUGCUAGAGUAGUAUUGGUAUGGGUGAUCGCCCGAGAGGUCCUAGUGUUUUACAUGCC
rfam:Picea glauca, whole genome shotgun sequence.